UGAAGCCCAGCUUGCUGGGUGGAUCAGUGGCGAACGGGUGAGUAACACGUGAGCAACCUGCCCCUGACUCUGGGAUAAGCGCUGGAAACGGCGUCUAAUACUGGAUACGAACCGGAAUCGCAUGGUUACUGGUUGGAAAGAAUUUCGGUUGGGGAUGGGCUCGCGGCCUAUCAGCUUGUUGGUGAGGUAAUGGCUCACCAAGGCGUCGACGGGUAGCCGGCCUGAGAGGGUGACCGGCCACACUGGGACUGAGACACGGCCCAGACUCCUACGGGAGGCAGCAGUGGGGAAUAUUGCACAAUGGGCGGAAGCCUGAUGCAGCAACGCCGCGUGAGGGAUGACGGCCUUCGGGUUGUAAACCUCUUUUAGCAGGGAAGAAGCGAAAGUGACGGUACCUGCAGAAAAAGCACCGGCUAACUACGUGCCAGCAGCCGCGGUAAUACGUAGGGUGCAAGCGUUAUCCGGAAUUAUUGGGCGUAAAGAGCUCGUAGGCGGUUUGUCGCGUCUGCUGUGAAAUCUGGGGGCUCAACCCCCAGCCUGCAGUGGGUACGGGCAGACUAGAGUGCGGUAGGGGAGAUUGGAAUUCCUGGUGUAGCGGUGGAAUGCGCAGAUAUCAGGAGGAACACCGAUGGCGAAGGCAGAUCUCUGGGCCGUAACUGACGCUGAGGAGCGAAAGGGUGGGGAGCAAACAGGCUUAGAUACCCUGGUAGUCCACCCCGUAAACGUUGGGAACUAGUUGUGGGGUCCAUUCCACGGAUUCCGUGACGCAG
rnacentral:rRNA from 1 species